UACGAAGGGGGCUAGCGUUGCUCGGAAUCACUGGGCGUAAAGGGCGCGUAGGCGGCGUUUUUAAGUCGGGGGUGAAAGCCUGUGGCUCAACCACAGAAUGGCCUUCGAUACUGGGACGCUUGAGUAUGGUAGAGGUUGGUGGAACUGCGAGUGUAGAGGUGAAAUUCGUAGAUAUUCGCAAGAACACCGGUGGCGAAGGCGGCCAACUGGACCAUUACUGACGCUGAGGAGCGAAAGCGUGGGGAGCGAACAGG
rnacentral:rRNA from 1 species